GCGGGGGUAGCCAAGUCUGGUCAAAGGCGCAGGGCUUAGGACCCUGAGCAAGCUUGCUGGGGAAUCCCGUAGGGGUUCGUGGGUUCAAAUCCCACCCCCCGCA
rnacentral:tRNA from 1 species